CGGGCUGCCGGCCGGCGCCGCCCGGGCGGGCGCCUUCCGGUGGCGCCGAGGGGCCGCGCCGGCGCGGUACGGCCGGCGUGCGGCAUGCGGCGGUCCGCCC
rnacentral:tRNA from 1 species